ACAUAAACCCGAUGGGAGGGAAAUCCUUUUUGGUUGUGCGAUUAAACAGGUUUAGCACAAAAGUAGCCCAAAAAGAUUGUACAAACAGCGGGACUGGCC
rnacentral:sRNA from 1 species